rfam:TPA: Bos taurus chromosome 20, whole genome shotgun sequence.
UCCCUGAUGGUCCAGUGGUUAGGACGCUGCGCUUUCAUAGCGGGUGGGGUUGGGGGUUCGAUCCCUCAUUGGGGAA